rnacentral:rRNA from 1 species
UACAUAGGUCCCGAGCGUUGUCCGGAUUUAUUGGGCGUAAAGCGAGCGCAGGUGGUUUAUUAAGUCUGGUGUAAAAGGCAGUGGCUCAACCAUUGUAUGCAUUGGAAACUGGUAGACUUGAGUGCAGGAGAGGAGAGUGGAAUUCCAUGUGUAGCGGUGAAAUGCGUAGAUAUAUGAAGGAACACCGGUGGCGAAAGCGGCUCUCUGGCCUGUAACUGACACUGAGGCUCGAAAGCGUGGGGAGCAAACAGG